rnacentral:rRNA from 1 species
UACGUAGGGGGCGAGCGUUGUCCGGAAUUACUGGGCGUAAAGAGCUCGUAGGUGGUUUGUCGCGUUGUUCGUGAAAACUCACAACUCAAUUGUGGGCGUGCGGGCGAUACGGGCAGACUGGAGUACUGCAGGGGAGACUGGAAUUCCUGGUGUAGCGGUGGAAUGCGCAGAUAUCAGGAAGAACACCCGUGGCGAAAGCGGCUCUCUGGAACGGUACUGACGCUGAGACGCGAAAGCGUGGGGAGCGAACAGG